CCUACGGGUGGCAGCAGUGAGGAAUAUUGGUCAAUGGACGAGAGUCUGAACCAGCCAAGUAGCGUGAAGGAUGACUGCCCUAUGGGUUGUAAACUUCUUUUAUAUGGGAAUAAAACGUUCCACGUGUGGGAUUUUGUAUGUACCAUAUGAAUAAGGAUCGGCUAACUCCGUGCCAGCAGCCGCGGUAAUACGGAGGAUCCGAGCGUUAUCCGGAUUUAUUGGGUUUAAAGGGAGCGUAGGUGGAUGGUUAAGUCAGUUGUGAAAGUUUGCGGCUCAACCGUAAAAUUGCAGUUGAAACUGGCAGUCUUGAGUACAGUAGAGGUGGGCGGAAUUCGUGGUGUAGCGGUGAAAUGCUUAGAUAUCACGAAGAACUCCGAUUGCGAAGGCAGUUCACUGGACUGCAACUGACACUGAGGCUCGAAAGUGUGGGUAUCAAACAGGAUUAGAUACCCCAGUAGUC
rnacentral:rRNA from 1 species